GCAAGUCGAACGAGAACGGAUUAUAGCUUGCUAUAAUUGUCAGCUAAGUGGCGCACGGGUGAGUAAUGUAUAGAUAACCUGCCCUCUAGAAAGGAAUAACAGUUGGAAACGACUGCUAAUGCCCUAUAUGCCUUUAAUACAUAAGUAUGCAAGGGAAACGCUUUAGUGCUAGAGGAUGGGUCUGUAUGGUAUCAGCUUGUUGGUGAGGUAAUGGCUCACCAAGGCUAUGACGCCUAACUGGUUUGAGAGGAUGAUCAGUCACACUGGAACUGAGACACGGUCCAGACUCCUACGGGAGGCAGCAGUGGGGAAUAUUGCACAAUGGACGAAAGUCUGAUGCAGCAACGCCGCGUGGAGGAUGACACAUUUCGGUGCGUAAACUCCUUUUAUAUAGGAAGAUAAUGACGGUACUAUAUGAAUAAGCACCGGCUAACUCCGUGCCAGCAGCCGCGGUAAUACGGAGGGUGCAAGCGUUACUCGGAAUCACUGGGCGUAAAGAGCGUGUAGGCGGGUAUAUAAGUCAGAAGUGAAAUCCAAUAGCUUAACUAUUGAACUGCUUUUGAAACUGUAUACCUAGAAUGUGGGAGAGGUAGAUGGAAUUUCUGGUGUAGGGGUAAAAUCCGUAGAGAUCAGAAGGAAUACCGAUUGCGAAGGCGAUCUACUGGAACAUUAUUGGCGCUGAGACGCGAAAGCGUGGGGAGCAAACAGGAUUAGAUACCCUGGUAGUCCACGCCCUAAACGAUGCACACUAGUUGUUGUGAGGCUCGACCUUGCAGUAAUGCAGUUAACACAUUAAGUGUGCCGCCUGGGGAGUACGGUCGCAAGAUUAAAACUCAAAGGAAUAGACGGGGACCCGCACAAGCGGUGGAGCAUGUGGUUUAAUUCGACGAUACACGAAGAACCUUACCUGGACUUGACAU
rnacentral:rRNA from 1 species